AACCGUCUGACUUCAUCGCUCCAGAAUGCUGGAGAGGAAAGUCCGGACAACGCAGAGCACCGCACUUCUCGAAAGGAAGGCACAAUGCAAAUUGUGACAGAUAGUGCUAAAUAAAUUUAUACCGCCGAUGGCUUUCGGGCACAGGUAAGGGUGAAAAGGUGAGGUAAGAGCUCACCAGCAGUAAAGUGAUUUGCUGGCUUAGGUAAACCUUGCGGGUUGCAAGAUCAUGUACACUAGCGCUGAGAGCUGCUCGCUCGAGUUAGGGGGUAGAUUGCGCAGAUAAAUGAUGAAGCUUCAUUUCGGUGAAGAACAGAAUCCGGCUUACUUAUGACGGUUUUAU
rnacentral:RNase_P_RNA from 1 species